UAUUUGUACACAGUAUUAUGUAAUACUGACUUCAUGGUAAUUCCAAUCAAUCCAGAAUGAUUAUUUGUUUAUCAGAAAGGGAGAGGUUGCUCACACACAUGUUUGUGUCAAUAUUGUUGCCUAACUGUGUUCUAUGAUACGCUAUAUUUGCCCAGUAUGUGGUAUCUUUGAGUAUAGAUGGUAGUCAGGCUCGACAAUGCCACGUCAGGUCUCCUCAGGCACCUG
rnacentral:lncRNA from 1 species